rnacentral:lncRNA from 1 species
AAAUUAUUUCCAAGAUAAAACUCCAAACACAUCAUGAAACUAUAUGACUAAGGGAGAAAAAAGACAUUUUCAGAUAAGCAAGAUCUCAAAUAAUUUGCCUCCCAUGCAACCUUUCUUGUGAAACUACUUGAGGAUGUGCUCCAUCAAAACAAGAUAGUAAACCAAGACAUAGGAAGAUAUGAAGUACAGGAAACAGAGUCAACACAGGAAGGAGAAUAAGGAAUUUCCCUCCAGGAUGGCAAAGGAGAUCCCAGGGUGAUAGCUGCACCAGGAGUUGAGAGUACCCAGUCUAGAUUGGAGCUGUGUGAUUCAAGAGACAGACAUGUUAAAGGAUGUUUGAGCAAUACCCCUGAAGCCAUGGAAUGGUUUUGUGAAUCUGAGGACAGAAUGGCCAGGUUGCAUGGUUGGAAGGCCAUGUCUGCAGGCUUCUUCCAGGCUACCAGCCAGAAAGUCUGAACUAAUUUCCUGGAGGGAAAACAAAGGCCCCACCUUGAACAAAUCCCAAGGCCAAGGGAAAUCCUUGCUUCCCACAUUUCUACAGCUGCCCCACCUCCAAGUGUGGCUCAUACCCCCACCUGUGAACCCAGUACACCCGGCUGGAUUUCACGGUGGGAGGAUGGCCUUUUUCCCUGAGUAUCAAUGUUUUGGGCUCUGAAAGAUUCUCAAAGUGUCCACCAAGAAGCCCUGUCUUAUAGACCUACUGCAGGCCUGCUCUGGAUAAACUUGUGAAUGAGAUGAAAUCCAGCUUCUUUUGGCCCAUUCAGUGAUCCUUUUCCCCAGCAUUUUGUCAACUGGCUGUUGACUGCAGUUUACCUUGCUAACUGAGACCAUAUUUCCAAAGGGAAAGUACAUUAAGACAUGAGGGAUCUGUGGAGCUUGGGUACAGUGGCUUAUGCUUGUAAUCCCAGCACUUUGGGAGGCCAAGGCAGGAGGAUCGCUUGAGGCCAGAAGUUUGAGACCAGCCUAGGCAAUAUAGGGAGACCCCAUCUCUACAAAAAAUAAAA